CGUCUCGUCAGACGGGUGUAUCGUUGCACCCAACCGAUUUACCGAAGUGAGGGCAGAAACAUUUCUCCGUAUUAUGCAAUGCAGGUCGACAGCACCACAAACUACAUCCGCCUGAAUGACCGUAGCGCUGAACCGGCACCUCCCUAAAGCAGUUUAUAACCUUCAUGGACGGAGGAUCUGUGGCAGGGCUGUUGCCUUGGGCUGCGUCAGUCCUGGCAGGGUUUACCCAGUAAACUGCCGGCUGAGCGUGUUGGCGUGCGCGGGGUUGCGCACUGCACCGACACGCUCACGACGAUCUCCACGGAGCCCCGCAAUGCACCAGAACUGUGUAGGACUUGGACAUGGAGCUGGAAGGGGCUUUGAUAUGUAAACACUGCGGCAAAGUCAGAUGUGUCCUUUUGUGGUUCCAGAGCUCGUCUCCAUCUGUAGCUACAUGUGUUGGGCAUCCAUUAUGUCCAAGUAUUUGGCCUCAAUGAUAUGAGGAAGCACGUUG